UAAUAACAUCUACCAAACAGUUUACAUUGUGCUAAACAACUUAUGCACAUUAUUUCUUUGAUUCUUUUUAACACACUGUUGUGGGCUGAAUGGUGUCUCCCAAGAAGUCAUAUGCCGGGAUCCUGUCCCAUAGUGCCUCACAACGUGACAUUGUUUGGAGUUAGGGUUGUUGAAGAUGUCAUUAGUCAAGAUGAGGUCAUACUUGAGUGAGGUGGGUUUCUAAUCCAAGGUGAGGUGGUGUCUGUGAAAAGGGGAAAUGUGGACACAGGUCCACAUAUAACGAGAACCCCAUGUGAAGAUGAAGGUAGAAAUUACAGUGAUGUGUCUACAAGCCAAGGAACACCAAAGAUUGACAGAAAAUCACCAGAAGCCUAGAGAGGCAUGAAACAUUCUCCCUCAGAGCCUUCAGAAGAAAGCAAUCCUGCUGGCACCUUCAUCUUGGACUUUGAGCCUCCAGAACUGUGAGGCAAUACAUUUCUGUUGUUUAAGCCACCCAGUUUGUGGCAUUUUGUUACAGCAGCACUGGAAUCCUAAUGGAUGCUGUAUUAGAUAAAUAUUUUAGGCUUAGGAAGAAGAGAACUCUAGACAUGCAGCAGCCAUCUUGUGGAUAUGAGGGAAGAGCCAAAUAGACUACAAAUCGGUUAACACAGAGAACUAAACCUGUGGAGCUACUGAAUGAACCAGCUAUGGAAUUGCCUGUGUGUGGGCAUUCAGAUGGACAUACCGGAUAAAAUUCUGGACUGGUAAGAGUGUGGGGAAAUUGCCAGUCUUAAGCAGUGCUGAUGGAGGUGUGAAUUGGUAAAACAAUUUGAAAAGUAAGUUGCUAGUUUUUAUAAAAUUUUUAAAAAUAAAUGUAUUCUCUGACCCAGUA
rnacentral:lncRNA from 1 species